GAAGGUGGCAAGCGUUGUCCGGAACUAUUGGGCGUAAAGCGCGCGCAGGCGGUUCUUUAAGUCUGAUGUGAAAGCCCACGGCUCAACCGUGGAGGGUCAUUGGAAACUGGAGAACUUGAGUACAGAAGAGGAAAGCGGAAUUCCACGUGUAGCGGUGAAAUGCGUAGAGAUGUGGAGGAACACCAGUGGCGAAGGCGGCUUUCUGGUCUGUAACUGACGCUGAGGCGCGAAAGCGUGGGGAGCAAACAGGGAUUAGAUACCCUGGUAGUCCACGCCGUAAACGAUGAGUGCUAAGUGUUAGGGGGUUUCCGCCCCCUUAGUGCUGCAGCUAACGCAUUAAGCACUCCGCCUGGGGAGUACGGCCGCAAGGCUG
rnacentral:rRNA from 1 species